UUGCGCAUGCUCAGUGACCCUGCGGAGUAAAAAUCCAUUUAGUGAUAUUUUAAAAUGGCCCCCACCACAGAGGCUCGAGCUCCAGCAGCAGCGGCUCCAGCGCCUUAGCUACAUCUCCAACUCCGGGUUCUGCACAGAUAUCUGAGAGAGACACAGAGAGAGAGGGGGAUAAAGAGAGAGGGAUAAAGAGAGCCCCCGGAGGAAGAGGAGGAGGAAGAGGAGGAAUACUGGAAUAUUUCUUUAGUCGGUUGGAGUUUGUUUUACGAACUAGCGUGUCAGCUAAGCUAAGCUAAGCUACAUGUUUACUUGGCCGGCUAGCUCGUAACGUUAGCUCUUUCUGAACAUUUCCCCCCCUUUUGCUAAAUGUUAGCUAGCUCGUGCGGCGGUUAAGUUACUUUAGCUAGCGUAAAGCUAGUCUUCUCGGCAAGUUCCCCCCUUCUUCUUCUUCUUCUUCUCCUUCUCCUCCUUCUCUUUCUCUUUCCUCAAAUGGCCGAUCCGAGGAAAGUGCCCUUCGUGACUCUGGCUUCCUAUAACACCUCCUCGACGCCGGUGCCGGAGUCCAAGAAGCGGCGGAGGGAGGAAGAGGGCGAGGGCGGUCUCCAGCACCACGGGAGGGACGGAGGGCCGUUCAGUAACGGGAAGAGCUCCGGGGAUGAUCCCGCCGAGUCCAAAUCCACCGUGAGGCUCAGUCUGUGCCUGUCCGAGCCCAGUGACAAAGGAUCCACGGAGUUCAGCUACACCGAGCUGAUCCAUCAGGUGAGGAAAGCUCCCGAACAACCCGCGCCGGCUCCGGACCCGAACGACCCGUUUGCCGAUCAGGACCGACAGAGACGAGAGGUCGAAGCCCUGGCCAGGAAGUUUGAGAGUAAAUAUGGCGGCACCGCAAAGAAGAAAAAGAAGGAUCGGAUGCAGGACCUCAUCGACAUCGGAUACGGCUACGACGAGACGGAUCCGUUCAUCGACAACUCCGAGGCUUACGACGAGCUGGUUCCUGCCUCCCUCACCACCAAACUGGGAGGCUUCUACAUCAACACGGGCACGCUGCAGUUCAGACCUGCGUCCGAGAGCGAGGACGAGGACGGGAGCAAGGGCGGAAACCACUUCAAGAAGCUGAAGGACGGAGAGGAGCGAGCGAUCAAGAGAAGAAAGAAAAAAGACGGUACCUUGGAGGAGAAGAAACCCAGAAAGAAUCGAGUGUCGAAGCAGGGCGUGUCUGCUCUGAACCGAACUGAGAAGAAGAAGAGGAAGAAGCUGAUGAAGGACUCUCUCGCUCUGGCGGCCAUGAUCCGCGGCUUCUCACGCGAGAAAGAGGAGAUGAGGAAAAAGAACCCUGUUGCCGCUGCUGCUCCCGCCACCGCUGCCACUUCCACUUCCGUUGCCACCGGCACCGCCACGGGUCUCAAGCCCCCGAAUGCCAACCGCACCGUCCUCAACUCGCACUCCGUCGCCCCCGGCAACGACCUCGCCGACCUCGCCAACGACCCGGCCGUCAUUCCGCUGCUGGGUCCGGCUAACGACGACAUGCUGCAGGACCUGAUGGACGAGCUGGACUUCUCGCUGCUGGAUGCUCCCGAGCUGUCGGGCCUGGAGGGUCAGGGCGAGAACGGUAACGCCGCCGUGCAGAGAGGACCAGGAGCCGCCUCAACGGGACGCGUCCAGAGGACCGGUCUCAUCCCCCCUCCUCCACUGCCCAGCGGCCUUCCCGCCCCCCUCGCCAAACGCAUCGAGGACCUGCGAGUGGCGUCUCGGCAGUUUGACAUGGAGGGGAGGAAGAAGUUUUUCACACUGGACAUGAACAACAUCCUGCUUGACAUCGAGCUGCAGGUUCAGGAGCAGCCGGCUGACGUGCGCACGGCCGUGUACUCUCACCUGGAGGCCUUCGUGCCGUGUAAUAAGGAGGCCUUGCUGAAGCGUCUGAAGAAGCUGAGCCUGAACGUGCAGGACGACAGGCUGAGGAACCCGCUGCUCAAACUCAAGCUGGCCGUCUGCAGCGCCAUGCCCGAGCAGAUCGCCCGCUACAACAUGGACUGUCUGGCCAAAGUGGCAAAGCAGCAGUCGGAAGAGGGCGAGAAGAACGGCUCGGAGGAGGAGGACGAGGAGAGGCCGGGGAAACGGGUGAUGGGACCCCGCAAGAAAUUUGUGUGGGACGAUAAACUCAGGACUCUGCUGUGUAAUCUGGUCCGAGCGAAGCUGGGCUGUUACGAGGCUGAGGGUCAGACCUCUCCCUCUCCUGAAGACUACCUCAAAGCCUUUAUGGAGACUGAGGUGAAACCCCUCUGGCCCAAAGGCUGGAUGCAGGCCAGGAUGUUGAUUAAAGAGAGCCGCGUGGCACAUGGCCACCUCACAGGAAACACAGUGAAGAAGACUCCCAAAGCUAAACCAAAAUCUCAGGAUGGCGUUUGGCUCCAGCAGUCGACUACGCCCAUUACCACGCCCUCUAACCUGGUGCCCCUCCCUCAGCGGCCCCCCUCCCCCUCUGAGCCCAUCUGUCUGUCGGACUCUCUGGAUGAGGAUUUGGGCGGAGCCCCGUCUCUGGACGCCAUUUCGCAGGCGCUGGCUCUGCUCAGCAGCGCCGCCAAGGGGUUAAUCCAGUCCAACAGCCCGCCCUCCCCUGAGACUGUUAAGACUGUUAACUCGGGCACCAUGCUCGGCCCUGUCUCCUCAAUCAGCUCCUCCACUCCUGUGCUUCCUAGAAAGAGCACCAUCAAUACCACUGCGUCUGCUUCCCCGGCCACCGCUGGCCCCGUUUUCGUCUCCUCUGCCUCAUCCUCUAGCUCUUCUCCCUCUCCGGCUAUCUCUCGGACUCCGUCCAUGUCCGUUUCUCCCUCCAUCCGGAGCGACGGAAUGGGAGGAGCCAAGGUUGGAGCGGUCGGCUUGACUCAGGUGCAGAGACACGGUCUGGCGGCGCUGCAGCGACCCGUCACUACGACUGCUGCAGGCAACAGCAACAAGACCAGUGCAACGUCUCCGCCUAAACCGAGGCCGCCGCCCACUGCCUCGCCCCUUAUCCCGCCGCACAAGAGCUUAAAUUCUCCUAUGGCCACGCCCCAAGGCCUCCAUAAACCCGGCAAUAAUAGCAGUACCAUCAGUCGAAUCAGCGCGGGUGGCACGACGACGCCGUCGUCUCAGUCUCACUCGACGUCGCUGCCCAUAUCUUCCUCUUCGUUUUCUUCAUCCGCUUCCUCGUCCUCUGCUUCUUCGCACCUCAACGCCAAAACGCAGCCCAAAAUCUCCCCGUCUCCGUCUACGUCGCAGCCCAAACCGCAGCAGCAUCAGCACCAACAGCAUCAGCACCAACAGCAGUCCACGUUCGUCACGCCCAUGCAGGCCACGCUCACCAAAUCGCCCCAUAGCUCCAACUCGCCUAUCCUCAAGCUUACUCCGCGGGUGACGCCGGUCAGCUCCCCCUCACCCGCCCUCUCCAGGGCGCCCACGUUACCCAACAUGCAUCAGUUCUCUCCUAAAACCGCAGGCUUCCAUGCAGGGUUCUCCGGCGUCGGCGCCGGUUACAGCACUCCCGUGGGGCAGCAGAAGACUCCCUCUCAGGUGAACAGCAGCGGCCUAACGAGCACUUCCACCCCCAUCACCAAGCACACCACCACCUCAGCCGGCUCGGCCAAUCACGGGCCGCGGCAGAGGCCGGCAGGCGUGGCUAAUCAGGUGACAAAGCCAAUGUUGACUGUUUCCUCAGCGACGGCUCCUCAGCUAGCACAGGUGUCCUCGUCCAGCACCAGCCUGCUGGGUCCCGGCGCUCCGAACCUGCCGCUGAACUUCGGAAUGCUGGGAGGGAUCACUCCCGUCUCGCUGCCCUUCGCCUUCCCCAGCCUGCUCAACCUGCCCACUGUGACAGGAACUAGCGCUGGAGCUAACACUGCUAACCAGAGCAGCUCAGGAUACAGCCUACAGCCCAAUGUCAAUCAAAGUCAGAGCGGGGAUCUAAAGAGGAAGCUGUGAUGACACUCGGACGCCGCCGGACUGCGAUGUCGCACUGAAGUACGGUGGACACACGGACUGCAGGUUUAACCAAUAACAACGAACGGCUCUUUACCCGUUUUCUGGGGGGUUUGUUUUUGAUUUAUAGUUUUUUUUUUUUGGUAAUUGAAUAUAAUUAAUAACAUCCCUGGCCUGGAUGCUUUCUCUCCUUGUUUUGCUAAUGUUUACACACACAGACCUUAAUUGCUGUGGACAGGGAGGGAAAAACGUUAAUGUGUGUAUGCGGAUGUGGAUGUACACACACACACUCUGAGUGGAAUAUGAACUCUGUAGACUUGGAAGACAAACAGAACAGACGGACGGAUGAACUGAUCCCUCCCUUUCUCAGGUGUAGGUCCAUGUCUCUGGUGCUGUUCCAGGUGUUUCAGCAGAGCCCGUUGCCAUGCAUUGUGGGACAUACUGAAAAGCUCGGUCACUUUAAACCUGACACUGUGACGUGAUUCUGCCUUUACCACACGGCAGUAUGUGAGGUUUCUACACCACUGGAUCUUCCCCGAUCAACUGUGUGUGUCUGGGAGCAGGAACGACUCAGCCGUGAAGCGGUAGACCAGACAAACUCUGAAAAGUAGGGUUGCUGAAGUGUAUAUCCUCCAUGAAGACAUGGUGUUACGUGUUAAGGUUGGAAAAGUGGAAGAUCUGGAGUGUCCUGCACCAAUCCCUGACCUCAACCCCACUGAACACCUUUGGGAUGAACUGGAACUGGAGCCUCCUCGCCAUCCCAACAUCAGCACCUGACCUCAUCCUCACUAACGCUCUUGUAGCUGAAUGAUCACAAUCCCCACAGCCACGCCCCAAAAUCCCCACAGCCACGCCCCAAAAUCUAGUGGAAAGCCUUCCCCGAAGAGAGAGUGGAGCACAUUAUAACAGUAACGAUGGAAUAAAUCUGGAACGAGACGUUUGAUAAACACAUACAGGUCUGCUGGUCAGGGGUGCAAAAACUUUUGUCCAUGUAGUGUGUAUUAAAUGUAACUGGUUUGUUUUUUCUCUCUAUAAGAUGAUCACGAUAAACCAAAUAUACAUGAGGUUUAAAUCUGCAUUUUAGUUUGUUUUUAAAGCAGUCUGAAGUUUGAAAUAGUCUCUGGGUUUAAAGCGUGCACUGUCCGUCUGUCCAGAACGAAGCAAAACAAUCAGCCAAUAGAAUACGAUCAUCUACAGAAACAGGCUGGGAAAUGUCUUUACUUUAUAAUAAUCACAGUAGAAGUUGGUUAUUAUAUCUUUAUAUAUAAAUGUCGGUCUCACUGAACACCAGGACGUCUCAAACUGCUGUAUAAAUAAUAAAUCCAUUUUUACAGAACACAUCGUACAGAUU